UACGUAGGAUGCAAGCGUUAUCCGGAAUUAUUGGGCGUAAAGAGCUCGUAGGCGGUUUGUCGCGUCUGCCGUGAAAGUCCGGGGCUCAACUCCGGAUCUGCGGUGGGUACGGGCAGACUAGAGUGAUGUAGGGGAGACUGGAAUUCCUGGUGUAGCGGUGAAAUGCGCAGAUAUCAGGAGGAACACCGAUGGCGAAGGCAGGUCUCUGGGCAUUAACUGACGCUGAGGAGCGAAAGCAUGGGGAGCGAACAGG
rnacentral:rRNA from 1 species